rnacentral:rRNA from 1 species
GCGAACGGGUGAGUAACACGUGGGAAACCUACCUCUUAGCAGGGGAUAACAUUUGGAAACAGAUGCUAAUACCGUAUAACAAUGACAACCGCAUGGUUGUUAUUUAAAAGAUGGUUCUGCUAUCACUAAGAGAUGGUCCCGCGGUGCAUUAGCUAGUUGGUAAGGUAAUGGCUUACCAAGGCGAUGAUGCAUAGCCGAGUUGAGAGACUGAUCGGCCACAAUGGGACUGAGACACGGCCCAUACUCCUACGGGAGGCAGCAGUAGGGAAUCUUCCACAAUGGGCGAAAGCCUGAUGGAGCAACGCCGCGUGUGUGAUGAAGGGUUUCGGCUCGUAAAACACUGUUGUAAGAGAAGAAUGACAUUGAGAGUAACUGUUCAAUGUGUGACGGUAUCUUACCAGAAAGGAACGGCUAAAUACGUGCCAGCAGCCGCGGUAAUACGUAUGUUCCAAGCGUUAUCCGGAUUUAUUGGGCGUAAAGCGAGCGCAGACGGUUAUUUAAGUCUGAAGU